UAGGGAAUCUUCGGCAAUGGGGGCAACCCUGACCGAGCAACGCCGCGUGAGUGAAGAAGGUUUUCGGAUCGUAAAGCUCUGUUGUAAGAGAAGAACGUGUGUGAGAGUGGAAAGUUCACACAGUGACGGUAACUUACCAGAAAGGGACGGCUAACUACGUGCCAGUAGCCGCGGUAAUACGUAGGUCCCGAGCGUUGUCCGGAUUUAUUGGGCGUAAAGCGAGCGCAGGCGGUUUAAUAAGUCUGAAGUUAAAGGCAGUGGCUUAACCAUUGUUCGCUUUGGAAACUGUUAAACUUGAGUGCAGAAGGGGAGAGUGGAAUUCCAUGUGUAGCGGUGAAAUGCGUAGAUAUAUGGAGGAACACCGGUGGCGAAAGCGGCUCUCUGGUCUGUAACUGACACUGAGGUGCGAAAGCGUGGGGAGCAAACAGG
rnacentral:rRNA from 1 species